rnacentral:tRNA from 1 species
GGUCAAUUACCCAAGAGGCUGAAGGGACCGCUCUCGAAAAGCGGCAGGGGAGGCAACUCCCGCGAGGGUUCAAAUCCCUCAUUGACCGCCA